UCCUCACUCAGCAGUUAAACUAUGCCCAUCUCCCGUCUGCUUGUAUUUUAAAUGUAAUUGAAAUGUGUUGUCAUAGAGUGUACUGAUUAAAGCCUGGUUCUCUCACUAGCCUGGCUUUUUACCCCAGCUUGCUUUCAUCUCUGUCUGUGGAAGAGCUCUUGAACAGACUGAUUGGCCUCUCUAAACCUCAGUUUCCUGAUCUGGGAAAUGGGGAAUCUAGCAGUGGCUAUCUCAUCGGGCUUUUGCAAGCAUAAACCAGGAUGGUACAUCCAAAGGACUUAGCACAGUGCCUGGCACACAGAAAGAAGUUCCUGGCAAGGAUGGAGUGAGAAGUCCUAUUUGAAGAAGAGCUGAGAGGUCGAAAAUUAAAAAAAGGACAAAUCAACAGAAUUUCCUGAAAGUGGGCAGCUGCUUCUAAUCAACUGUUUACUCUCCUGAGGCCUCAGAAAGGAAAUGGACUGGGUGAGUUCUCAUGUCACAUGGUUAACAGAGGGCACCGCACAGUGUCUGUGGGACACCUGCUGUUGGCGGCUGGAGGGAGCCCUGCGGGCCCAAGAUCUGCGAAGGAACUUCCCCGGGGCGCCGCAGCCUUGGGCUCCUGGGAGGUGGGAGGCGCCGCAGCGAGGGCUCGCCUGGCUCCCUAGGGCUAUUGAGGAGGCUGACGGUGGACCCGGUGGCCUAGGCAACCUGCGUCAGGCUUGGUCACUCACAGCGCCUGGCUUGUGAAAGGCAUUCAUCUUUAAUCCCUUCCUGUCCCUUGACUUCUCUCUCCAACCCCACCUUUCAAAAAAAAAAAAAAAAAACACAAAAACACAAAAACACAAAAGCACAAAAACACACCAAACCAGCAACAUAGAUACAUCUGCCCUCUUUGCUCUACUAAAAAGGAAAAAGGAAAAGAACCAAAAAAGAACUGUCCUAAACUUCCUUCCUGCUCUCUACAAUUAAUUACAAAUUAGAACUGGGAAAUCAUGCAUAUGAUAGUGAAAUAUGAUGAAAAUGAAAUAUGAUAUGAGCCAACCUCUAGAUUUAGGCUUUGGGUUCAACAGCAGUGUGUGUAGAUCCAGAUGAGGUUUGUGUUUGUUUUUGUUUUUCUUUUCUUUUUCCCAGACUUAUCGAGGUAUAAAUGACAAAUAAAAUUGUGUAUGUUUAAAGUACUCAACGCAACAAUUUGAUGUAAUAUGAGGUUUUGUAUGUCGAGAGUUCGGUGGUUUUCAUGCACCCUGGGGAUGUGAAAAGCAAUCCACUGACCUCUGGAAGAAAACUUGUUUCCUAUUUAUUGUUUAUCUAAAGUAGUAAUAAAGA